rnacentral:rRNA from 1 species
UACGGAGGGUGCAAGCGUUAUCCGGAUUUACUGGGUUUAAAGGGUGCGCAGGCGGAUAUGUAAGUCAGUGGUGAAAAUCUCUAGGCUUAACCUGGAAAUUGCCGUUGAUACUAUAUAUCUUGAAUGCUGUGGAGGUAAGCGGAAUAUGUCAUGUAGCGGUGAAAUGCUUAGAUAUGACAUAGAACACCUAUUGCGAAGCAGCUUACUACGCAGAUAUUGACGCUCAUGCACGAAAGCGUGGGGAUCAAACAGG